GGUCUUCUUGAUUAGAAAUUCAAUUACAUUGGCAUCAGAGGUACCAUACAGUGUAGGCUCCAAGGAUUAUCUCCAUCUUCUUCACAGCCUUAAAAUACUAAGAGCUACCUUUCCCAAGACAUUGUGGGCUACGUGAUGCUAAAAAGCCAUCGAAAUCGUACAAGGAUGGGCCAUCUCGAGAUCAGUAUCGACUGUCAAAAGAAACCGUCACCAAUAUGCUGGAAGCCGAAAUGAAGAGGGACAUACAGAGGAUUGAUCAACUUCCUGUUUAUUUGCAGGUGUUGACAACUGUCCAUUUUUAUGCAGUGGGAUCAUUUUAAAAGAUGCAUGGUGAUGAGGCAGCAAUAUCGCAGUCAUCAAUGUGUCAGAAGCUAAAGGAAGAGGCAAUACAUGAAGAUUCCUACAACAAGAGAAGAAGUUGAAGCAACUCGAAGACAGUUCUAUCUAACUGUUAGAUUUAAAGGAGUGAAAGGUGCAACUGAUGGGACACAUGUCUACAUCAAGAAGGGGGGGGGGGGGAUUGGGCCAUAUGCUUCUUAUAUACCCCUUCCAACUUCAUGUGGAGAGGAAUGCCUAUAACAAUGGCAAAAGCAUUAAGAACAUAGAAACACAGAGUUCAUUCAAAUUUAUGAAGAAUACUUUACUUCUUUAUUUGUUAAUAAAUUGAUUGUUAUAACCCUGUGAUUCCUGCAGCUUAGCUUCAGCAACCUCUCUUUCUUUAUUCAAAACGUCCAUUCGUAGUUUGUGCUCCUUCAAGCUCAUAUCGUGUCUUUCAAUCUCAUUUCAUGCUCUUUCAAUCUCAUAUGUUCUUUCACUCUCAUCUUGUACUCUUUAUAAAGUCGAGACCAUGUUUCUUCCAUUGAACUUCAAUUCUAAUGGCAUGCACUUCUACCAGCUCAAACUCUUCUGACAGAUGAUUCUUUUUUCCUUGAGAUGGGUAAUUCAAAUUCCAUUUUGCAGAACAAAGGUUUGUGGUAUUGCUGCAGGGUU